rnacentral:rRNA from 2 species
GUGAAGGCUGAGCUGUGAUGGGGAAGCUCCUUAUGGAGCGAAGUCUUUGAUUCCCCGCUGCCAAGAAAAGCUUCUAGCGAGAUAAAAGGUGCCUGUACCGCAAACCGACACAGGUAGGCGAGGAGAGAAUCCUAAGGUGUGCGAGAGAACUCUGGUUAAGGAACUCGGCAAAAUGACCCCGUAACUUCGGGAGAAGGGGUGCUUUCUUAACGGAAAGCCGCAGUGAAUAGGCCCAAGCGACUGUUUAGCAAAAACACAGGUCUCUGCGAAGCCGUAAGGCGAAGUAUAGGGGCUGACACCUGCCCGGUGCUGGAAGGUUAAGGAGAGGGGUUAGCGUAAGCGAAGCUCUGAACUGAACUGAAGCCCCAGUAAACGGCGGCCGUAACUAUAACGGUCCUAAGGUAGCGAAAUUCCUUGUCGGGUAAGUUCCGACCCGCACGAAAGGUGUAACGAUUUGGGCACUGUCUCAACCAGAGACUCGGUGAAAUUAUAGUACCUGUGAAGAUGCAGGUUACCCGCGACAGGACGGAAAGACCCCGUGGAGCUUUACUGUAGCCUGAUAUUGAAUUUUGGUACAGUUUGUACAGGAUAGGCGGGAGCCAUUGAAACCGGAGCGCUAGCUUCGGUGGAGGCGCUGGUGGGAUACCGCCCUGACUGUAUUGAAAUUCUAACCUACGGGUCUUAUCGACCCGGGAGACAGUGUCAGGUGGGCAGUUUGACUGGGGCGGUCGCCUCCUAAAGUGUAACGGAGGCGCCCAAAGGUUCCCUCAGAAUGGUUGGAAAUCAUUCGUAGAGUGCAAAGGCAUAAGGGAGCUUGACUGCGAGACCUACAAGUCGAGCAGGGACGAAAGUCGGGCUUAGUGAUCCGGUGGUUCCGCAUGGAAGGGCCAUCGCUCAACGGAUAAAAGCUACCCCGGGGAUAACAGGCUUAUCUCCCCCAAGAGUCCACAUCGACGGGGAGGUUUGGCACCUCGAUGUCGGCUCAUCGCAUCCUGGGGCUGUAGUCGGUCCCAAGGGUUGGGCUGUUCGCCCAUUAAAGCGGUACGCGAGCUGGGUUCAGAACGUCGUGAGACAGUUCGGUCCCUAUCCGUCGUGGGCGUAGGAAAUUUGAGAGGAGCUGUCCUUAGUACGAGAGGACCGGGAUGGACGCACCGCUGGUGUACCAGUUGUUCUGCCAAGGGCAUAGCUGGGUAGCUAUGUGCGGAAGGGAUAAGUGCUGAAAGCAUCUAAGCAUGAAGCCCCCCUCAAGAUGAGAUUUCCCAUAGCGUAAGCUAGUAAGAUCCCUGAAAGAUGAUCAGGUUGAUAGGUUCGAGGUGGAAGCAUGGUGACAUGUGGAGCUGACGAAUACUAAUAGAUCGAGGACUUAACCAU